rnacentral:rRNA from 1 species
UGGGGAAUAUUGGACAAUGGGCGCAAGCCUGAUCCAGCCAUGCCGCGUGAGUGAUGAAGGCCCUAGGGUUGUAAAGCUCUUUCACCGGUGAAGAUAAUGACGGUAACCGGAGAAGAAGCCCUGGCUAACUUCGUGCCAGCAGCCGCGGUAAUACGAAGGGGGCUAGCGUUGUUCGGAUUUACUGGGCGUAAAGCGCACGUAGGCGGACUAUUAAGUCAGGGGUGAAAUCCCGGGGCUCAACCCCGGAACUGCCUUUGAUACUGGUAGUCUUGAGUUCGAGAGGGGUGAGUGGAAUUCCGGGUGUAGGGGUGAAAUUCGUAGAUAUUCGGAGGAACACCAGUGGCGAAGGCGGCUCACUGGCUCGAUACUGACGCUGGGGUGCGAAAGCGUGGGGAGCAAACAGG